GAUGAAGAACGUAGUGAAAUGCGAUAAGUAAUGUGAAUUGCAGAAUUCAGUGAAUCAUCGAAUCUUUGAACGCACAUUGCGCCCGUCAGUAUUCUGGCGGGCAUGCCUGUUCGAGCGUCAUUACGCCCCUCAAGUCCCCUGUGGACUUGGUGUUGGGGAUCGGCGAGGCUGGUUUUCCAGCACAGCCGUCCCUUAAAUUAAUUGGCGGUCUCGCCGUGGCCCUCCUCUGCGCAGUAGUAAAACACUCGCAACAGGAGCCCGGCGCGGUCCACUGCCGUAAAACCCCCCAACUUUUUAUAGUUGACCUCGAAUCAGGUAGGACUACCCGCUGAACUUAAGCAUAUCAAUAACGGAGGA
rnacentral:misc_RNA from 1 species